rnacentral:rRNA from 1 species
CAAGUUGAGCUCGAAGCCUCUGUGGCUGAGGGCAYGCCUGCCUGGGCGUCGUUC